UACAGAGGGUGCUAGCGUUGUUCGGAAUCAUUGGGCGUAAAGGGCGUGUAGGCGGUUUGUUAAGUCAUGUGUGAAAUCCCUCGGCUCAACCGGGGAACGACGCAUGAAACUGGCAAGCUAGAGUACCAAAGAGGGGGUGGAAUUCCCGGUGUAGCGGUGAAAUGCGCAGAUAUCGGGAGGAACACCAGUAGCGAAGGCGACACUCUGGGCCGGUACUGACGCUGAGGAGCGAAAGCGUGGGGAGCAAACAGG
rnacentral:rRNA from 1 species